rnacentral:rRNA from 1 species
UACGUAGAAGGCAAGCGUUAUCCGGAUUUAUUGGGCGUAAAGAGGGUGUAGGCGGUUCUUCAAGUCGGAUGUAAAAUCUCCCGGCUCAACUGGGAGGGACCAUUCGAUACUGUUGGGCUAGAGUGCAGCAGGGGAAGAUGGAAUUCCCGGUGUAGUGGUGAUAUGCGUAGAUAUCGGGAGGAACACCUGUGGCGAAGGCGGUCUUCUGGGCUGUUACUGACGCUGAGACCCGAAGGCGUGGGGAGCGAACAGGAUUAGAUACCCCCGUA